rnacentral:ncRNA from 2 species
AACUUAUCUAGAGAGGCGGAGGGACUGACCCUACGAAGCCCAGCAACCGUUUUGCAUUAGCCAUGCAAAAAAAGGUGCUAAAUUCAGCAGAAUGACUUUAUUCUGAAAGAUAAGAA